UCGUGUCGAAAUAAUCCACAGAGCACGACAACUGAAGGCGGCGCAACAGCAGGGUUGCGCACGAGCAGCGACGACAAGGCAGCGCACGAGCGAGUACAGCGGCUGCAGCACGGAUACAGCCCUCCCUCGCCCGCCCUUCGCUCUGCGUGGCUCCCUCGCCUCCGGCCUCCGCUCCGUUCCGCGUGGAUCCCUCGCCUCCAGCCAAGUUCUUUUCAAGAUUCAAGUUCUUUUCAGAGACCCAUCCCUUGCUGUACUGAAGCAUAUUCACUAGCCUACUUUGAGGUAGCAUUUACAAAACUUUGAGGUGUUUGUGGUUCAUUGACCUACUUUGAUGAAUACUUGAUGAUAGAUAGUUUGUUGUUAUUAGUAAACAGUAUUUGCAAAAGAAUAAUAUACAAGCAAUUUCUUGGCAAUAUCAAACAUGAACCUCAGUAAAGUUGGCUUUGAUUAUUUAUUAUAUAUCGGUUUCAGAAAUCAGGUUACAAUAUUACGAAGAAAUUAUCCAUUACAAAUAUGGUUUUUACAUGUACUUCUCCUAUAUUAAAGAUGCCUGAAUUUUUAGUUGAUUUCAGAAAAUACUCUUAUACAGUCAACUAGUACAAAUAAACUGUUACAUUUGUGAUUUGUUAUUUUUCUUUGUAUCAUCAUUAUACAUUGAAAUUUUGAGAGGAAGCUAAAAUUAUUGAUUACAUGUAGUUUGUAAUUCAAUGCUGGUGAAUUGGUGAUUGGUUAGUUAGAGAAGAUCUUCAGUUUUCUACUGAAACCGUGCUAGCAGAAGAAAACCUGGUCACCUUGGUCCAUUUUAUCAUAUUUUUUUAUAUCAGGUUCUAAAAUUUUUGCAAUAAAAUGAAUUAGUGUGAAGUCUUGGAUGAUUUAAUAAUUUUAUGUGCACUGAAUGUGAGUCCUGUUGUUGUGUUCUUGCCUGUGUUCUGGAUAUAAUCAGUGACUGACAGCUGUAUUUGCAGUUGUCUCUGUACAAAGAAUUAGUCUAUUUUGGAGGUUUUUACAUAGAAUUAGUCUAUUCACCAACACUCAUCUGUAUUUGUAGUUGUCUCUGUACUUGUAGUUGUCUCAUGAUACUGAUGGAUUAUCUAGUCCUUGAUCACUGUUUUUUCUAUACUUAGUGAAUAGGACAACUGGCAGCAUAGUUGUCAGGCAUUUCGUUCCUGUCUAGUUUGCAUUAUGACAAUUUAUGUUUAUUCACCAAACUGGACUUCCUAUUAGCUAAUAUGUCUAAAGUGUUAGUACACAUUUUUGUUUCCCUAUCAUAUAUGUAUAUGUUCAUCUGGUCACAAAUCAUAGCUUGGUCUCUAUGUUGCUUUAUGUCAGCAUUUAUUUAUUAAGCUUGGUAAGGCAUUAUACCAUAAACAAUAGUAAAUAAUUCCAAAAAAAACAUCUUUACAUGAAGUAAGUUUGUAACAGAUAGAUGAACAAAUUAUACAAUUUUGAAGCAAAACAACAAAAAAUACUCCUUUACGAUUAUAGUACUCCUUUUUAGCAGGUUUCUCCAUACUCACAAAUUAAUCGAUCACUAAUAGUAUUUAUAAGUGAUUUUAUCUUUCUAAAUAGUACCCGAACUCUUUUUUUAUUUUUUCUUAACUCCUAACGUGACCGUCCUUGCUUGUUGGAUUUCUUGGGAUGCUACAUUUGGUCAUCAAGGAUAUGGUCGGCAGGAUCAAAGUCAUACUGAUGCUGAAAACUGAUGUGUGAAUUGCUGCUUGAUAGCAGUUUUUUGUCUGAAAACUGAUGCUGAAAAACUGAAAGCCACUUCUCUGCCUGAUAAGAUCAAAUACAGCUGCUCUCUUUCUGUAAGCAGUAUUUUUUUUUGUUUGUCAAAACUGAAAGCAUGCAAGCCACUUAUUUGUUUGUCAAAACAGCUGCUAUAUUUGUUUGUCAAAAUGGCUGGAAGCAAGUCACUUCAGCACUUAUAUUGGUUAGAUUGGCACCCAUGCAGAACUGAAGGUUUCAGUUAAUCAUGUAGAGCCCUCACAAUUAUCAUUGUCCGUGUAUGAAGCAGAAUUGAAGAUUACUGACAUGCACUUGUCAUUGAUAUCAGCUGUGUUUUCGGAUUGUUCUGAUUGCGGAUGAAAGCAAUUGCGGUUGUUUUGGUUGAUGUUUUGAUUGCUGGCUGCUGGGGCUAACUGAACAAGCAAAAAGAGAGACAGGGAAACUAUUGAAUAGGUAAUUAAACCACACAGGGAAAGAGUGGCAGGAGGGGAUCCAUUGAAUCCACUUGUGGAUUAAUUCUACCUAGGGAUUAAAUCCAUGCCAGGACCUGCAUGAGCAUGAUCGUCCGCAGAGAUUUUCUACUAGAUACGUCGUUGCCCAGUUGGAUCUUGGAUGUCCCUCUCCUCAUGACGAUCAGACGAU
rnacentral:lncRNA from 1 species